CCUACGGGAGGCAGCAGUGGGGAAUAUUGGGCAAUGGGCGCAAGCCUGACCCAGCAACGCCGCGUGAAGGAAGAAGGCUUUCGGGUUGGAAACUUCUUUUCUGAGGGACGAAGAAAGUGACGGUACCUCAGGAAUAAGCCACGGCUAACUACGUGCCAGCAGCCGCGGGAAUACGUAGGGGGCAAGCGUUCUCCGGAUUUACUGGGUGUAAAGGGAGCGCAGACGGAUGUGCAAGUCUGGAGUGAAAGGCGGGGGCCCAACACCCGAAGUGCUCGGGAUACUGUACAGCGGGAGUGCAGUAGAGGUAAGCGGAAGUCGUAGUGUCGCGGUGAAAUGCUUAGAUAUUACGACGAACACCUGUGGCGAAGGCAGCCUGCUGGACUGUAACUGACGCUGAUGCUCGAAAGUGUGGGUAGCAAACAGGAUUAGAUACCCCAGUUGUC
rnacentral:rRNA from 1 species